UCUCGUAGACUUGCAUGACAUUUUUCCCAUCAUUGUUCCUGAGUUCCUCUUCUUCGCUUGCUUCCAUCCAUCGCCAGUUCCCUUUCGCUUCGUCCAUUGCCGGCUCCCUCUCUUUCUAUUUCAUCCAUCGCUGGUUCCCUCAUCUAACACACAAAUCCAGUUGUUCGUUGCCGAAGCCAAAGCCAACAGAAGAAGAAGAGGAAGACCCAAUGAAGCACUCCUCAGUACUCGUUGCGGCUUCGCUCUCGAAACUAAAGCCAGUAGAAGAAGAAGAGGAAGACCCACCGAAGCAUUCCUCAAUACUCAUUGCAGGGCUAUGAACCCAGAAAGAAUGCGGUUAUCGAAGGUUACUUGCUUAUGCGUACGAGGAAAUUGCAGACAUCAUUAAAAGAUUGUAACUCUUGCUACUUUAUUAUCAUAGUCUUGUGG